GACGAACGCUGGCGGCGCGCUUAACACAUGCAAGUCGAACGGAAAGGCCUGCUUUCCCUUGUGGAUUGCGGGUACUCGAGUGGCGAACGGGUGAGUAACACGUGAGUGAUCUGCCCCCAACUUGGGUAUAAGCCUGGGAAACUGGGUCUAAUUCCCGAUAGGACUGCAGGGUGGUGCCUGUGGUGGAAAACGAUUUACUAGUGGUUGGGGAUGAGCUCGCGGCCUAUCAGCUUGUUGGUGGGGUAAUGGCCUACCAAGGCGGCGACGGGUAGCCGGCCUGAGAGGGUGGACGGCCACAUUGGGACUGAGAUACGGCCCAGACUCCUACGGGAGGCAGCAGUGGGGAAUAUUGCACAAUGGGCGGAAGCCUGAGGCAGCGACGCCGCGUGGGGGAUGACGGCCUUCGGGUUGUAAACUCCUUUCGACCGCGAGGAAGCCACCUGGUUGGAAGGGUGGUGACGGUAGUGGUAGAAGAAGCACCGGCUAACUACGUG
rnacentral:rRNA from 1 species